CAUGGGUUCCUUGUUAUAUCACCAUAUUUUAUGCUUUCUAUUUUAAUGCACCUAUAUACCUGGUAAAAGGUGGAAGGCUCGGCCUUUCUAGCCUGGUGUUUUGUUCCACCUUUGCCCCCUUAGUUUCGGCUACCGGUGUUAUGUUCCAUAAAUGAGCGCUCCUAACACGACCGCGGUUGUUAUGGGGACCCCCUUGAUAAUUCGUUUUAGAUUAAGGCUGGUCUGGCAAGGCCCAACUUUGGUACUACAUUUGCCUAAACACCUAAUAAA
rnacentral:lncRNA from 1 species